rnacentral:lncRNA from 1 species
GGUCAUAGUGCACACCUUUAACCCUAGCCCUCUGGAGGCAGAGACAGGUAGAGGCAGAUCUCUGUGAGUUAGAGGCCAGCCUGGUCUACAGAGCUUGUUCUAGGACACCCAGGGCUACACAGAGAAAUCUUAUCUCAAAAAACCAAAAAAUAAAAAAAAAAAAAUUAAAAAGCUAUUGCUGUGUAGCAUAGGCUGUCCUCAAACUCAUACUAAUCUUCCUACCUCGGGGAAUUAAUCUUUCUUUCUCUCUCUGUCUGUCUGUCUGUCUCUCUCUCUCUCUCUGUCUCUCUCUCUCUCUUUCUCUCCCUCGCUCCUUCCUCCACAUGCAAACACACACAGCCUCAUAAAAUAAUUAAUAAAUACUCGUGGUCCCCUAGAGCCCUGUUGGACUCAUUCAGUAUUUGCAUAUGUGCUAUCUUAUUUUUAGAAUGUUACUUCUCCCUCUUUGUGCCCACCCCCUCCCCCCGAUUAUUUUUAUUAGCUCCUUUGGGUGUGUGUGUGUGUCAUCUUAGAGAAAUCUUUGCCACAUCCCCAAAGAUGUUCCUAUUUUAAAUUCUCCAAAUUCCUACAGACCAAUAAAUCCCAUCCAAACCUCUAUUAGAGCACAGUCACUUUUAGAAUGUCCUUGCUUGGUCACAUGCCUGUCUCCCUCAGUAGACGCUCAGCAUCUGCAGAUCGAGGACUGUUUGGUACCCAAAGUCUAGCCUUCACCUGUUCCUUGCCCAAAAUAGUACAUUAGCUACUUACUGUUGUCUGAUGGGCAACCCCCAAACUAUAUCACACAAUAGCUCCUUUUAUUUGCUCACGACUCUGAGGGUUGUCAGCAUUUGGCUGAUGUGACCAACCACUGCUCCAAAGGUGCCAGGAGGUCUACACACACGUUUGUAUUCGGUGAGCUAGUUGUCGGAGGCCUUUUGUUCUUGGAAGCUGCUGUCAUUUGAUUCUUGAAUGUCUGUCUCCCAAAGUCCCAUGUGUUAAUAAGUUCUUUUCACUAGGGUGGCAACACUGGGACAAGGUAGAACCAGCCACACAUUUCAGCACUCGGUGGGUGGAGGAGGCAGGAGGAUCAGGAAUUCACUGACAUCCUUGGUAACAAAGCAAGUCUGAGACCACAUAAAAUAUUGCCUCAAAGAUGCAAACGAAGAAGUGGUAGGACCUGAUGAGAGAACUGCAGGGACCUGGGGAGUUUGCCCCUGGUGGGACUGUGGGACCCCAGCUUUUUUUCAUCAUUUAUUUCUUGGCCCUGAGACAAGUCAUUUGGUUUGACCAUUUGCUCCUACACAGUGUCCUGACUUAUCACAUGCCUCACUGGUGAGUUAGUACCGAAUGGGGCCAAUCAGUUAUGGACUAAAAUCUCAAAAACUGUGAGCCAAAAAUAACCCUUUUCUCUUUAUCAGGUAAUUACCACAGGUAUCUUGUUAUAGUGAGAGAAAUCCGUCUAACACAGAUGGCCUCAUGCAAACCACUCCAAGCCACAGUUCCAGGUCGUGUAGUUCCAGACAAUCUAGAGACAACCUGCAACCUUCUCUUCUGUAGCUCAGAAACGAAACACUUUGACUUUCUUCAAUUCAAACAGCUAGCUGGAGAGAGAGCACAGUGGCAAAGAGCCUAGAUUGCUCUUCCAGAGGACUUGAGUUUGCUUCCUAAAAUUACAUAAUGGCUCACAACAGUCCAUUGCUCUAGUGGCACAAGAUCUGACACCCUCUUCUGAUCUUCUUGGGUACCAGGGGCGCACAUGGUACACAAAUAUAGAUAUAAUGCAAAACAUCCAUAUACAUAUAAUUAAAGUGAAUAAAUACUUGAAAAUGGGUUAAUAAAUAAAACCAGCCCAGAGUCCAGGAACAGAGAAAUAAGCAGUACCUUUUAUGAGAAGACCUGCAUAGAAUCUGUGGCCAAUUUUAAUUCUCUAAAAAUAAAUACAGAGGAGCCAUUAUUAGUUUAAUGCAGUUAUUGAACGCUUUAGACUCUCGAAUCAAAUUCUUACCCAGCCAUUGGAUGGGAGUGAGAUGUACCUGAAGGCUGGUUUAUAACAAAACCUUCCAAGUCCAUGGGUCCUAAAAUGUCAGUGCUGCUUGGGCUGGGUAGAACACAGUUUAAUCAUCUCAUUGAUUAGUGAAUGAGGCAUAAAACAAUCUUGGACUAUACCCAGACUUGUGCAGCUUGGCCGAAUUCCUUGAGUCUCUUGCCUUCCAUCCCUGUCACAGUAGAUUCUUCUGUGGGAUAAAGUCAUUCAGCUGAAACAGGUUUAUGGCACUGUGGACUCAAAAGUGGCAUCAGGGAUCUUUGAAGAGAAGGGGGAGGAUCAUCUGCUAUUGUUAUUUGUUUCAAAUACCAAGGUCUUAUUCUGUAUGUAUUCCAAGUUGGCCAGGAACUUCUAGUAUAGCACAGGCUAGUCUUAAAUUCAUAGCCAUCCUCCUGCUUCAGCCUCCUGAGGACUUGAAUUAUAGGCCCGAGCUACCAUGCCUGUUUAAAUGAGUUUGGUCUUCAUGUGGAUUUGUGUCUGUGAUCUUCAAAGAGGAAACGGUAUUUACUUAUUCACUGCCUGAGAUAACAUUUAACUGCGCAUCUUGGACAUAUUCUUCCUUGUUCCCUUAUAAAAUGUAUUUUCAAAGCCAGGCAAGAAGGCUCACACCUAUAAUCCCAGUAUUCAGGAAGUGGAGACAGGAGAGUUGUGGUGAGAGGCCAGCCUGGACUACAGAGACUUUGUCUCAAAAACAAAACUAGAUAAGAAAUUCUAGACUCUUUUUUUUGUUUGUGUGUGGUGUUUAUGUUUUGAUGAUAGAAAGACAGAUUUUGUUUUUUGUUUCUUCAUUAACACAGUAUAUGAAUUAGAAGGGCUUUUUUUUUAUUAAAAUGAAAACUGCAUUAUCUUUUUUACUGUUUCUGCCUUCUGAAGUUUAAUUACAACUGGGCAGGGUGGCUCACAGCACAAAGAUUCGUGCUGGAGAAUGGAAUUUGAGGCUAUCCUGGCUAUACACAGAGACCCUAUCUAAAAACUAAUUUAUUAGGUCUAGUAUCUCACACCUCUAAUCGAAGCACUGCAGAGACAGAAGGAUCACCACAUCUAAGGCUAGCCUGGGCUACAUGUGAUACCCAAAAGACAUAAUAAGGAAAUUCAUUGAGAAAUGGAAGGGAAUGUGAGGAAGAUCAGCCAUCUUUGCCUAGAUGAGGUGUGGCUGACUUUAUAGAUCACGUGACAGGUGCCUCUGCUUUGGAAGGACAGACACCAGGUUAAGAAUAUCACUGCUUUCUAUUCAAAUGGAUUUCCUGAGUUUCCAAAUCUUUCCUUUCAAAUGUAUUGUGGAGAUAGUCAACUUCAAGGCCAAUUUUGAACCCUUGGUACUGACUCUGGCUGCUAUGAAUUCUGUUUUACUUUGACUAUAAAUGAUCAGAAUAACUCCAGAGCACUGUGGUGUUUCUGACUGGUUGAAAUUGAUGAUUGACAUUAAUAAUGAUUUCCUGCCACCUGAACUUCAGGUAUGAUGCAUAUUUCUUCACUGCAGAACCAAAAGGACAAAUGAGCUGUAUGCCAAAAUGAAGUUUGCCGUCAAAGAUCGCAUAUAGUAUUGUUAAAUAAGUUUAAAAGUACUUAAUAUAUGGCUUUAUUUUAAAAUUU